rnacentral:rRNA from 1 species
UACCAGCACCCCCGAGUGGUCGGGACGAUUAUUGGGCCUAAAGCAUCCGUAGCCGGUCCUGCAAGUCUUCCGUUAAAUCCAGCUGCUCAACAGAUGGGCUGCGGGAGAUACUACAGGGCUAGGAGGCGGGAGAGGCAAGCGGUACUUUAUGGGUAGGGGUAAAAUCCGCUGAUCCAUAGAAGACCACCAGUGGCGAAGGCGGCUUGCCAGAACGCGCUCGACGGUGAGGGAUGAAAGCUGGGGGAGCAAACCGG